CCAAUAACAGGAUUACGAGGCUGAGUGCGGUUACUGCUGGCACAGCGAGCCACAGAUGUAGCCAGGACUGGGCGCCAAUCGACGGAUUCCCAAUAUUGUCUUCCAGUUGCUAGACUACGCUGCUUUCCAGUACAUUAUUUGGAAUAUAAAAACUAAAAUGAUGAGCACAGGCAGGCCCCGCGCCUGCCCGGAGGGAGCUGUAAGCAGAGGAAGGUGAAGUGGCCUGAAGAAAUGUCUGUACUGGAGACAGUCGGGGCUGUGUGCCUCUGCCUGACGCAACAUCAUUUCAGACGUGGAGGAAGGAUCUGUUGGCAGAUCUUGGGACUCAAAUGGGCUGGACUUCUAAGAAAAAAUAUACCCAGGCCUCUCUAUUCCACCAAUUUUCAUUCUUUCAUACAUACAUAUUUAUUUAUUUAAACAGACUUUAUAUUUUAGGCAGUUUUAGUUCACAGCAAAUUUGAGCAGAAAAUGCAGAGGUCCCAUAGACUUCCUUACCCAACAUACCCACGGCCUCCCGCUCUGUCAACACCCUGCAGCUGAUUCAUCUGACAGUCGAUGAAACGAUUCACACAUCAUUAUCACCCAAAGUCCAUCAUCUACAUUACAGACUCUUGGUGUCGUACAUUCUGUGCGAUUUGACAAAUGUACAAUGACGUGUACCUGCCAUUGCUGUGUCAUACAGAGUAAUUUCAGCGCCUGAUAAUCCUCCAUGCUCCGCCUGCUAACCUCUUCCUCCCCCAACCCCUGGUCCCCAAGGCUUUGCUUUUUCCAGAGUGUCACAUAGUUGGAAUCGUACGGAACAUAGCCUUUUCAGAGCGGCUUCUUUCACUUAAUAAUACGCAUUUACCUUUCCUCCAUGUUUGUUCACGGCUUGAUAGCUCAUUUCCACUGAAUAAUAUUCCAUGGUCUGGAUGUAGCCAUUUUCAUAUAUUUUUAAGAAGACAGACUGUUUCAUGGGGCGACAUGAUUUGUUAAUAACUAGUAUUAUAAUUAAACUUACAAUAAAAG
rnacentral:lncRNA from 10 species